CCCGUGUCUGCGACCGGCGGCCCCCGGCGCGGAGGGCAGAGCGUGGGGAGGCCGGGCUCCCGGCGUCGGCGGAUGGCGGGAGCCCCGGGGCCGCAGGCUCGUGGGGCAGCGGACCGAAGACGAGACGCCGAGCUGGAAGGGGCCUGAAGAGAUGAUAUGGUCUAAUCCUCUUGUGGCAGGAAGAUUUUACAGGAGAGAUGGAUAAGAACCAGAAAGUCAAGUGAUAGGCCUAAGGUAACAGUAUUGUAAUGGGCCAUAUUGUAACCACAAACUGCUUUGCAAUUUUGUGUUCUUUUUCAAAAAUUAAGUUUUUAAUAUUAAAUAUUGCUUCUAGAUAGUUUAAAAAUACAUCCAUUGGUGAAUUUUGGGUUUUUUAUUGCAAACACAUUAUAAUUAUACUAGAUUUUGAAAUGAAUUCUAAACAAUAAUGUUUAUAGGAUGGUUUAUAUUUCCAAUGCCCAGAUGCUACCAAUGUAGUAAGUGAAGCCAGGACUCUGAUCUGGUUUGACAUUAAGGCUUAUGCUUAAACUAUAUUGCAUCAGUAGCCCUGUUUAUAAUAGUAUUCAUUAAAUUCUCAAAGGUUAGUUGUUUAAUAUUAAUAAUCUUGACCCAGUUGAGCGGCUUUUAUUUUCUUGAAAACAGAUGCAGAUGUAAAUACAGAUUGUAAAUAAUACCAGCAGAUAACAAGCCUCUGCAGCUGAGGUUGGCACUGUCAUAGUGCCAUAUUUCGCUCCAUUGUGUUUUUGCUAGAAAUCUUUUUAAUAAGAACUCUUUGUAACACUUGAUGGAUUUUAAAUCACAAAAAUUAUUCAAGUUGUAUUAUACUAUACAUUUGUUGUUGUUAACCCUCACUCAAGGAUAUUUUUUCCUCCCAUUAAUUUUUAGAGAUCAUGGAAAGGAGGGACAGAGAGUGAGAAACAUCACUGUGAGAGAGACACAUCAAUUGGUUGUCUCCCAAAUGUGUCCCAGUUGGGUAGGGAUCAAAUCUCAAUCCAGGUCCUUGCCCUUGACUGGGAUUCAAACCCUCAACCCUUCAGUGGUUGUCACUGAGCCACAUUGGCCCUAGUAUUCAAGAUUUCUUUAUUUUAAAGGUUGAGAAAGCACUGUUGAAACAAAUGUGGAUAUUUCCUAAUAAUUGACAGUGAGAAAAAGUAUAGCUGACCCUGGCCAGUGGGCUAAGUGGUUAGAGCACCGGCCUGUACACCAAGGGCACAAACCUGGAUUACAGAUUCCAUCCUUCUAGGUCCUAGAGGCAGCCAGUCUCGUUCUUCUCUUCUCCCUCCUUCACUUUCUCCCUUCCUCUCUAAAAAAUCAAUGGAAAAAAUAUCCUCUGGUGAGGAUUAACAAAAACACAUACAUACACACACACACACACACACACACACACAGUUCUUGACUAGAGAAUUGCCAGUCCCCCAGGGGCUCUGAAACAGUAAGCUUUGGGUAACAGUAUUGGGGGCCUGGCAUCAAUUUCUGCUGAACCUGAAUCACUGACCUAAUUUCAAAAACAUUAAUUGGCUACAAAACAAAAAAACAGUAACAAAACUUUGUUUCACCUUUUGAAAUGCAGGUUAGGCUAAGUUUUCUUUUUAACUACUUGCCCAUACCUGAAGCUUAUUCAUUCACAGGGACAGGGGACUCCAGGGGAGUGAUAACAUAUCUGCCCUUAUGUGGCACCUACCCGGACUAUGAGCUCUGUAUCAAGAUAUGCCUUGUCCUUCUCUAUCUCAGCCCUUAACAUGGUACCUAGAACAAAGUGAUAUGAAGUGGACAUUAUUGAAAGAAUGUUUUUCCCAGCACAGUGUAUAGCAGUAUUCACAUUGUCCCAUCUUUUUGGUUUUGUGUUUCGUUUUUACAGAUGAAAACAAGUUUUUGAGACUUCUAGCUCCUUGUACAGGGGUCUGUGGAUGAGACCCUCGUGUUCCCUCUGUAGUCAUCUGGGAAGGUCUUUUCCCCUCCCACACACUUAACUUGGCUGUUCUGCAGUCAAUCAUUAAUUGACUUAACUUUGAACUUUUAGAGGGCAGGAACUAUAUAUCCUGAAGUUUCAUUUUGUACCUAGCACAGAGUAAAUAAACAGGUUUUGCCAUCCAAGAGUAUUUUUAAUUUGCAUUUAAAAGAUAAAUGUUGAUCUCUAGCAGGUAUUGAUAAAUGGUUAGAGCAUCGGCCUGUGGACUGAAGGGUAUGCACCUUGGUUACAGGCUAGAUCCCUGACUCUGGGUCAGGGUACAUGCAGGAGGCAACUUAUCAAUGUGUCUCUCUUAACAUCGAUAUUUCUCUCUGUGUCUCCUCCUCCCACUCUCUAAAAAUCAAUGGAAAAAAUAUUCUCAAGUGAGAACAAAAAAAAAAAAAAGUUGAAUGGAUAAAAAUCAAGUUUUGAUUAAAUGACAGUUAUAGAUGCACUAAGUUAUUAUCAAGGAGAUUUAUUUUACUGGUAAGGGUAUUGCGUUUGUGAUAGUAUUAAUAAUAGUUUUCCUUUUUAUUUUCAUAAAGGCUUAAUAAUUACCUUCAUAAGUACUUACAUACAUCUUUGUAUCAAUUUUUCUGUAAUAGCUUAUGCUUUAUUGCUAUAUAUUUUGUGAACUUCUGUUUAUAUCAUAUAAUUAUGACAUGUUUAUAAAAUAAACUUUUAAACCU